GUCCAGACUCCUACGGGAGGCAGCAGUGAGGAAUAUUGGUCAAUGGUCGGGAGACUGAACCAGCCAAGUCGCGUGAGGGAAGACUGCCCUAUGGGUUGUAAACCUCUUUUGUCAGGGAGCAACGCCGGCUACGUGUAGCCGGACUGAGAGUACCUGAAGAAAAAGCAUCGGCUAACUCCGUGCCAGCAGCCGCGGUAAUACGGAGGAUGCGAGCGUUAUCCGGAUUUAUUGGGUUUAAAGGGUGCGUAGGCGGAAUGCCAAGUCAGCGGUAAAAUCGCGGGGCUCAACCUCGCUCCGCCGUUGAAACUGGCGUUCUUGAGUGGGCGAGAAGUAUGCGGAAUGCGCAGUGUAGCGGUGAAAUGCUUAGAUAUUGCGCAGAACUCCGAUUGCGAAGGCAGCAUACCGGCGGCGAUCUGACGCUGAGGCACGAAAGCGUGGGUAUCGAACAGGAUUAGAUACCCCCGUA
rnacentral:rRNA from 1 species